GCACUAGCCGGGGCGUUAGCGGUGCCUUGUUACCUGCAAUCCGCUACAGCAGGGGUGAAUUCCGUGCAGAGGGUUACAGCUGUGCUGUCUGCCCUGAUUUUGAAGACAAUGAAGAUCCGGUCCUUCGCAACAGCGGCCUGUGAACCAUGUCAGGCGGGGAACCGAGCAGCAUUAAGCAGAAUCCGCUGUGUGCCGCAGGAACGCCGGGACGGAGUCCGAGAAAUCAGGUAACGGGUAUGGGUGUAUUUCGAAGCAUGGUGUGC
rnacentral:SRP_RNA from 1 species